rnacentral:scRNA from 1 species
GAUUGGGGAUAUAGCCCAUUAGUAGAGCAUCUGCCCAGCAUAUACAUGACCAGAGACCCAAUCUCCAGUGCUAGGGGGGAAAAAAAACAGAAAAAACUAAAACAAAAUA